GGGCCUGUAGCUCAGCGAUUAGAGCAGUCUCUUUAUAAGGGACAGGUCGGGGGUUUAAAUCCCUCCGGGCCCACCA
rnacentral:tRNA from 1 species